UACAGAGGUCUCAAGCGUUGUUCGGAUUCAUUGGGCGUAAAGGGCGCGCAGGCGGCGCGGUAAGUCGGGUGUGAAAUCUCGGGGCUUAACUCCGAAACUGCAUUCGAUACUGCCGUGCUUGAGGACUGGAGAGGAGACUGGAAUUUACGGUGUAGCGGUGAAAUGCGUAGAUAUCGUAAGGAAGACCAGUGGCGAAGGCGGGUCUCUGGACAGUUCCUGACGCUGAGGCACGAAGGUCAGGGGAGCAAACGGG
rnacentral:rRNA from 1 species